GGGGCUAUAGCUCAGCUGGUAGAGCACUUGCCUGGCAGGCAAGGGGUCUGGGGUUCGAGUCCCCAUAGCUCCA
rnacentral:tRNA from 1 species